rnacentral:rRNA from 1 species
AUUAUAUUGCCGUUAAGCCCACCUGAGUAGUACCAGCGCAUGCUCUAAACUCAAAGUAUUUGGCGGCCCUCCYCCUCAUUAGAGGAACCUGCCCCGUAAUCGAUGACCCACGUAUUGUCCCACCUUUCUUAAAAGUUUGUAUACCGCCGCUUAGAGUGAGUCCUAAGACCCACUCGNGAUUAUCUUAUUAAAUAAUUCAGGUCAAGGUGCAGCCUAUGGAAAGGAGGCGGUGGGUUACAAUGAAAUAUAGAGCCGGAUCUCGUACUUAAAUGUANGGGUGAAGCUGGAUUUAAAAGUAAAUUAGUACAAAAUUGACAGAGUUCUGGA